UACGUAGGGUGCGAGCGUUAAUCGGAAUUACUGGGCGUAAAGCGUGCGCAGGCGGUUCGUUAAGUCAGAUGUGAAAGCCCCGGGCUCAACCUGGGAACUGCAUUUGAAACUGGCGGGCUUGAGUAUGGCAGAGGGGGGUGGAAUUCCGCGUGUAGCAGUGAAAUGCGUAGAGAUGUGGAGGAAUACCGAUGGCGAAGGCAGCCCCCUGGGAUAGCACUGACGCUCAUGCACGAAAGCGUGGGGAGCAAACAGG
rnacentral:rRNA from 1 species